AACGAACGCUGGCGGCAUGCCUAACACAUGCAAGUCGAACGAGACCUUCGGGUCUAGUGGCGCACGGGUGCGUAACGCGUGGGAACCUGCCCUUAGGUUCGGAAUAACUCCCCGAAAGGGGUGCUAAUACCGGAUAAUGUCUUCGGACCAAAGAUUUAUCGCCUUUGGAUGGGCCCGCGUUGGAUUAGCUAGUUGGUAGGGUAAAAGCCUACCAAGGCGUCGAUCCAUAGCUGGUCUGAGAGGAUGAUCAGCCACACUGGGACUGAGACACGGCCCAGACUCCUACGGGAGGCAGCAGUGGGGAAUAUUGGACAAUGGGCGAAAGCCUGAUCCAGCAAUGCCGCGUGAGUGAUGAAGGCCUUAGGGUUGUAAAGCUCUUUUACCCGGGAUGAUAAUGACAGUACCGGGAGAAUAAGCUCCGGCUAACUCCGUG
rnacentral:rRNA from 1 species